rnacentral:rRNA from 1 species
UACGGAGGAUGCGAGCGUUAUCCGGAUUUAUUGGGUUUAAAGGGAGCGCAGACGGGAUGUUAAGUCAGCUGUGAAAGUUUGCGGCUCAACCGUAAAAUUGCAGUUGAUACUGGCGUCCUUGAGUGCGGUUGAGGUGUGCGGAAUUCGUGGUGUAGCGGUGAAAUGCUUAGAUAUCACGAAGAACCCCGAUUGCGAAGGCAGCACACUAAGCCGUAACUGACGUUCAUGCUCGAAAGUGUGGGUAUCAAACAGG